CAAUACGCGAUGAUGAGAUAAGUAUUUUAUGACACUUGCUGAGAGAGCCUAUGUGUGGUGGAAGUAGGUCAAGGAGAUUAGAAGAAAAUGGUCUUGGAGCAUAAUAGUUUAAGCCAAAAAUAGGUGAGGAUUAUUCGGAAACCUCCGUUACAGGGAAAGAGUGCGACGAUUUUUUAACGUACUCUGUGAGUUUAUAUUAGCGAUAAUAUACUAAAUUAAGGUGGUACCAUGAAGUAGCUUUCAUCCUUUGC
rnacentral:ncRNA from 1 species